rnacentral:rRNA from 1 species
CCUACGGGCGGCAGCAGUGGGGAAUAUUGCACAAUGGGGGCAACCCUGAUGCAGCGACGCCGCGUGAGUGAAGAAGUACUUCGUUAUGUAAAGCUCUAUCAGCAGGGAAGAAAAUGACGGUACCUGAGUAAGAAGCCCCGGCUAACGCCGUGACAGCAGCCGCGGUAAUACUCAGGGGGCAAGCGUUAUCCGGUGUUACUGGGUGUAAAGGGAGCGUAGACGGCAGUGCAAGUCUGGAGUGAAAGGCGGGGGCUCAACCCCCGGACUGCUCUGGAAACUGUACGGCUGGAGUGCAGGAGAGGUAAGUGGAAUUCCUAGUGUAGCGGUGAAAGGCGUAGAUAUUAGGAGGAACACCAGUGGCGAAGGCGGCUUACUGGACUGUAACUGACGUUGAGGCUCGAAAGCGUGGGGAGCAAACAGGAUUAGAUACCCUUGUAGUC